rnacentral:rRNA from 1 species
UACGGAGGGUGCAAGCGUUAUCCGGAAUCACUGGGUUUAAAGGGUGCGUAGGCGGCUUUGUAAGUCAGUCGUGAAAUCGCUAGGCUUAACCUAUGCAAUUGCGAUUGAUACUGCAGAACUUGAAUGGGGUUAAGGCAGGCGGAAUGUGGCAUGUAGCGGUGAAAUGCAUAGAUAUGCCAUAGAACACCGAUUGCGAAGGCAGCCUGCUGGGCCUUUAUUGACGCUGAGGCACGAAAGCGUGGGGAGCAAACAGG